rnacentral:RNase_P_RNA from 1 species
GCGGAUAGCCGGAUGAUCGCGGCAGGGCGACCUGUCGAGGAAAGUCCGGACUCCAUGAAGCAACGGUGCCGGGUAACGCCCGGCCGGGGAAACCCGAGGGAAAGCGCCACAGAGAACAAACCGCCAGACGGAUAGGUUGGUCUUUACCGAUACCUCCGAAGGCAAGGGUGAAACGGUGGGGUAAGAGCCCACCGCGGGACUGGCAACAGGACCGGCACGGCAAGCCCCACCGGGAGCAAUGCCAAAUAGGGACCUCGUGCGGUGAUCCGCAGGGCGGCUUCAGCCCAGAGGUCCGGGUUGGCAGCUAGAGCGCGUCGGCAACGGCGGGCCCAGAUGAAUGAUCAUCCACGACCUUGUGUCGGGACAGAAUCCGGCUUACAGGCUAUCCGCACAU